UACGUAGGGGGCAAGCGUUGUCCGGAAUCAUUGGGCGUAAAGCGCGUGUAGGCGGUUCAGUAAGUCUGCUGUGAAAGUCCAGGGCUCAACCUUUGAAAGCCGAUGGAUACUGCAGGGCUAGAGUACGGAAGAGGCGAGUGGAAUUCCUGGUGUAGAGGUGAAAUUCGUAGAUAUCGGGAGGAACACCGGUGGCGAAGGCGGCGACCUGGGUCGAGACUGACGCUGAGGCGCGAAAGCGUGGGGAGCAAACAGG
rnacentral:rRNA from 1 species